rnacentral:rRNA from 1 species
CUCCUACGGGAGGCAGCAGUGGGAAUAGUUGCACAAUGGGCGAAAGCCUAGAUGCAGCGACGCCGCGUGAGGGAUGACGGCCUUCGGGUUGUAAACCUCUUUACAGUCAGGGACGAAGCGAAAGUGACGUACUGCAGAAGAAGCACCGGCCAACUACGUGCCGGCCGCCGCGGUAAUAC